CAUUACAUUGGAGAGUGACGGAUAAAUACCAAUCCACAGGCAUUGGAGAAACCAAUUAAAAUAAAUUAGUUUAUAUAAUAUCACAAGACCAACAAGCAGAAUUCAUAUUGGUUGGCCACUUGUGAAUAUCAGAGACUUGAUUGCUUUUUCUCUACUGCCUUACUGGCAUGUUCCUUAUGUUCAUCGGCCUUUACUUUGUGCUCUGUGCUAAAGGGAAGGAAGGUUGCUAUGCAGCAUAUGACAUAGAAAAUUGAAGAAUCCUGCAUAAUUGCUAGAAUAAGGAGCAGCAAGCACAACAGCUCAGCAGCGCGCAGGAACAUCAAAUGAGAAUAACAAAUGGCAGCACGGAAAAGAACACAUCAACAGAAGCAUAACAGAGAACAAAAAGCAGCAGA